UAAGAAGAAGAAGAAGAAGA
rnacentral:miRNA from 1 species